rnacentral:lncRNA from 1 species
GUUGAUCGUUUCGGUCGAUCCGUUGGAGUUGCUCUGAUGACUCCGCGGUGUUCAUAGUUGUCUGCUUUGCCGAAUGUUUGCACCGCCUGUGCGUUCAUCGGGCUGCGCGCAUCUUCAGGGAUUCAUGACGACGAUGAUGAAGUUCUUCGCUGAAGGCGGCGUCACGGGAGCACAGCACGGCGACACUGGUGCCAAGCCGUCAACGUGGCAUUGCUUUCCGUUCGGAGUAGCC